rnacentral:rRNA from 1 species
UACGUAGGGGGCGAGCGUUGUCCGGAAUCAUUGGGCGUAAAGCGCGUGUAGGCGGCCCGGUAAGUCCGCUGUGAAAGUCCAGGGCUCAACCCUGGGAUGCCGGUGGAUACUGUCGGGCUCGAGUCCGGAAGAGGCGAGUGGAAUUCCUGGUGUAGCGGUGAAAUGCGCAGAUAUCAAGUGGAACACCAGUGGCGAAGGCGAGUCUCUGGACAUUUCCUGACGCUGAGGCACGAAAGCCAGGGGAGCAAACGGG